rnacentral:rRNA from 1 species
GAUGAACGCUGGCGGCGUGCCUAAUACAUGCAAGUCGAGCGAACAGACGAGGAGCUUGCUCCUCUGACGUUAGCGGCGGACGGGUGAGUAACACGUGGAUAACCUACCUAUAAGACUGGGAUAACUUCGGGAAACCGGAGCUAAUACCGGAUAACAUGUUGAACCGCAUGGUUCAACAGUGAAAGACGGUCUUGCUGUCCCUUAUAGAUGGAUCCGCGCCGCAUUAGCUAGUUGGUAAGGUAACGGCUUACCAAGGCAACGAUGCGUAGCCGACCUGAGAGGGUGAUCGGCCACACUGGAACUGAGACACGGUCCAGACUCCUACGGGAGGCAGCAGUAGGGAAUCUUCCGCAAUGGGCGAAAGCCUGACGGAGCAACGCCGCGUGAGUGAAGAAGGUCUUCGGAUCGUAAAACUCUGUUAUUAGGGAAGAACAAAUGUGUAAGUAACUAUGCACGUCUUGACGGUACCUAAUCAGAAAGCCACGGCUAACUACGUG